rnacentral:rRNA from 1 species
CCUACGGUGGGCUGCAGUGAGGAAUAUUGGUCAAUGGCCGUAAGGCUGAACCAGCCAAGUCGCGUGAAGGAAGAAGGAUCUAUGGUUUGUAAACUUCUUUUAUAGGGGAAUAAAGGUAUCUACGUGUGGAUAUUUGCAUGUAUCCUAUGAAUAAGCAUCGGCUAACUCCUGGCCAGCAGCCGCGGUAAUACGGAGGAUGCGAGCGUUAUCCGGAUUUAUUGGGUUUAAAGGGUGAGUAGGUUGUUUUUUAAGUCAGCGGUGAAAGUUUGUGGCUCAACCAGAAAAUUGCCGUUGAUACUGGAAGACUUGAGUGUGUUAGAGGUAGGCGGAAUGCGUGGUGUAGCGGUGAAAUGCAUAGAUAUCACGAAGAACACCGAUUGCGAAGGCAGCUUACUAGGCCAUAACUGACACUGAGGCACGAAAGCGUGGGGAGCAAACAGGAUUAGAUACCCGUGUAGUC